rnacentral:rRNA from 1 species
UACGUAGGGUGCAAGCGUUGUCCGGAAUUAUUGGGCGUAAAGAGCUCGUAGGCGGUUUGUCGCGUCGGGAGUGGAAUCCACUGGCUUAACUGGUGGCUUGCUUUCGAUACGGGCAGACUGGAGGUAUGCAGGGGAGAACGGAAUUCCUGGUGUAGCGGUGAAAUGCGCAGAUAUCAGGAGGAACACCGGUGGCGAAGGCGGUUCUCUGGGCAUGUCCUGACGCUGAGGAGCGAAAGUGUGGGGAGCGAACAGG